CUCCGGGUGUGGACGAAAUACAAAACCUGAAAGGGGAAAUAGUCCGCUGUCUUGCGGCAGUUUUGAGCACCCGGAGUUUGCAUA
rnacentral:ncRNA from 1 species